rnacentral:rRNA from 1 species
UGCCACAGCCAUAUCACCCUGCAGCCCAAGACUGGUUGCCCCCUGAAGCUAAGCAGGGUUGAGUCUGGUCAGUACCUGGAUGGGAGACCUCCUGGGAAAACUAGGUUGCUGCUGGAA